AUGAAUUUUCCCGACGUGUCGAGCCAGCGGGCGCAGGAUCUGGCACCUCUCCUGUGGCUUUUCACCGACGAGGAUUGUCGUGUCCACCGGAGGCGGCAGCGUCGCCUCGCCAUCGCCGAGAUGGACGUGGAAGCCAUGGUGGUGUGGCGCGAACGCUUCCCGCAGGACAUCGUCGACGAGCGCCAGUUCUACAAGCAAAGGAGGUUGGAGAGGGACACGAGGAGGACGGAGCGAGCCACCUAUCGGGAGGACAAGCGUUCGCGGAAGCAGGCUGCUCAAUUGAAACUGAAGCUACGAGAAACGUCAGGUUGGGACUUUGAAGACGAGCAGCAUGCUGACGCCUACAUUCAGACGUCGGAGAAGGACAUUACCGAGUCGGAGUCAAAAAGCGACGAGUAG
rnacentral:rRNA from 1 species